UAUGCCGCCCUGUGAUGUGG
rnacentral:misc_RNA from 1 species